CUCAAUAUUUUGGAUUAGGUGUUGAUGCAUGUUGAUUAGUCAGUUCUAGGGUUCUAUCGUGUGGUAAAAAUCGAUUUUAGGUUUCAAAUCGAAUUGGGGAUUUUUUUCGAUUUACGGUUUUCGUCUAGGUUUGUUAUUUUCUGCAUCUCGAAUCGGUUCUUUGUUGUUUGAGAGUUCUAUCGUAUGGUUUUAAUAGAUAUAGGGUUUGAAAUUGAGUUGGGAUUGACUUCUGGAUUGAUUUACGUUCCGUGAAGAGUUAUAAAUAAUUUUACGGUUCGAGAUUGAUUUGUAAAUCGAUUACGGGUUCAGGAUAGUCGAAACCAUUUGUGUUAAGCUAUCCUUAUAGCUAAUUAUGAAUCUGAUAACAUGAUUUUCCUUGCAGGUUUUGAAAUGGAGGAAGAACUUCGCGAUAAGAAAGCACAAAAAGAGUACUACAACAUGAUCGAUUUUGUUGCAAAUGCGCAACAGGGGAUUCCCAAAAUUUGCCCCUGUGGAUCAAUCACGAAAGAAACCGUUGAUGAAGAUGAUACGUACGACUACCUCCCGGGAAAAAGAUACUUUAUCUGCAAAGACUUUGAGAAUGAUGGGCUGCAUUUCAGGCAACCAUGGGUUACGGCUAUUCAUGAAGAAGUUGAGAGGCUCAAAGAACGGUAUCACGAGCAGGCGAAGCUUCUGAGAGAGUGCCAGACAGUUAAGGUGAGUGAUGAGUGAUCUGUUAUGUCUUUAGGACUUUACUUAUAUGUGGGUAGGACUAUAGUUCUGUAAUAACUGUAUGAUGUAUGUUCAGGACGAGGUGAGAAUGCUGCAGGACGAGGUGAGAAUGCUGCUUAUGCGUGUGGCUGAACUCGAGAGAGCCCUGUGAGGUUAGUGGAUUAAAUUAUCCUUCAUCUCUGCCUCGUGUGAAAUUAGUAGGAGUUUGCAAAUAAUAUCCAUACUGCUUCAUUAAAUCUCGCUUUCAAACGAAAACUUCAUUAACUCACUCUCUAGCUGUUAUGAUAGGACAGUUAGCAAAUAAUAUCCAUACUGCUUCAUUAAAUCUCGCUUUCAAACGAAAACUUCAUUAACUCACUCUCUAGCUGUUAUGAUAGGACAGUUUCCUACUAGGAUUAAAUAGAGUUGAACUAAAGAUCCCUAUUUAAUCUUCUGCGUUUCUACAAGAGAAACACAGAGUGAAAUCCGAAAAUGGAAAACUCCACUUGCUUUGUAAACCUUUUAGCUAGCCAAGGGUGUGUUGAGCUUGACUCAUCGGAACCCCUUUGCUUUAACAGCCAAUGUUCCGAUGAGUCUACUGUCAAAGAGAGGAAGAAAUGGACACCAAAGGAGGAUAUAAUCCUCAUUGGUGCUUGGCUCAACACCAGCAAAGACCCUAUAGUCGGGAAUGAACAAAAAGCUGGUAAGUUCUGGCAGAGGAUUGUACAGUACUACAACUGCAGUCCUCAGCUGGUUGGGACAAUCCCAAGAGAACUUGGGCAAUGCAAGCAAAGAUGGGCUAGGAUCAAUGAUUUGGUGUGUAAAUUUUCGGGCUGCUACGAGAUGGCAUUGAGGGAGCAGAGGAGCGGGCAAAAUGACAACGAUGUGAUGAAGGCUGCUUUGGAUAUCUUCUACAAUGACCACGGCAGUAAGUUCAACUUGGAACAUGCGUGGAGGGAGCUUCGACAUGAUGUGAAAUGGUGCUCCACCUAUCUCGAGAAGGAGAGCGGUCGGGAGAAGCGCAAAGCAGUUGCUUCUGAUGCUCAAGGGUCAUUCGCGGAGCCAGAAGAAAGACCCAUAGGAGUUAAGGCAGCUAAGGCUGGUAGCAAUAAGAAGAAAGGUGGAAAAGAAGAAGAAUUGGAAAAGAUAGAAGGACUGUUGGCGCUCAAAAAACAAAUCUCUAGACAGAAUGUGCUAGAGAGUUUACUUGCAAAGACUGAGCCACUAGAUGACAUGGAAUUAGCUCUGAAAAUGAAACUUAUGUCUGAAAUGAUGUGAUGAUUGUUAGCUCUAACUUUAGUACACAUUUGCUGUUCGUUUCACUAUGUUUAAUCAUCUCAUUUUCUCUAUUUCAGGUGAUGUACAAGACCAUGUGCCUGACGAAGACAAAAGCUGCUGUCUCUUCCUUAUGUAUUCACGGGAUGCUUGUUUUUUUCUCUUAUUUUUCCAUGUGAACCUAGUCACGGGUACUUUGUCUGUUUAUUAGCUUUGUAUUUAUAAGUCUGGUUGUAGACUCGGCGAAGAGCUAUCUCAUUUGCUCUUCUUGUACUAAAAACUUGUUAUGAUGAAAUUUUAAUUUCGAGUAUCUGCGUUUCAUCAACCCUUCCCUUCAUAUUUGUAUGCUCACGGCAGGUAUGGUCACUGGUUUGUGUUGCCAGUAUGAUAGUAGAGUUUUGUGUUGCUUCUCAAAAUACCAAUUCAAAUCUUUAGUAGGCUUCAAUCCACCAUCGAAUAUUUGAUAUUGUAUAAGAUUGAUACAAUGAUUGAUUGACAACCUAGAAUUAGAUGAUUCUGAUAUAUAAGGUUGAUAUAAUGGUCCAACUAUUCGUACGCACAACUAUGGUUUUGGUUUUAACAAACUUUCUUUUGUAGAUUUAAGAAAGGAUAGUGAAAUAUGGGAGAUGAAGCAGAUCGAAGAUUAUAUGCGGUUUUGGAUGAGGCGGUCGAUGAAUAUAUUGAGGAUACAUUCAACAACAUCGUCGAAAAUCGAACAGUCAAACCGAAGAAACGUGCAUAUGUCGAACGAAACCGCGAAGAGGGCCACAACCGUCUAUGGAAUGAUUACUUCCGUGAAGAUUCCACAUUUCCGGCUCAUUUUUUCAGGCGCCGUUUCCGCAUGAACAAGGAAGUAUUCUUGCGUAUUGUCAAUCGCCUCUCCGAAAAUGUUACAUUUUUUCAGCAAAGAAGAGAUGCUGUCGGACGGUUAGGUCUAUCUCCACUACAAAAGUGUACGGCAGCUAUUCGUAUGCUUGCUUAUGGCUGCACGGCGGACGCCACAGAUGAAUAUCUCCGACUUGGUGAAAGCACAACACUUUCGUGUUUAACUAAUUUUACAGAAAGCGUAAUACAAUUAUUUGGAGAAGAGUAUCUACGAAGACCCACUACAGAAGAUCUUCAACGACUACUCGACAUUGGAGAAAUACGUGGCUUUCCUGGAAUGGUUGGAAGCAUCGAUUGUAUGCAUUGGGAGUGGAAAAAUUGCCCAACUGCUUGGAAAGGACAGUACACACGUGGAUCAGGAAAGCCGACAAUUGUCUUGGAGGCUGUCGCUUCACAAGAUCUUUGGAUAUGGCACGCUUUUUUUGGUCCACCAGGUACCUUAAACGAUAUUAACGUCCUCGAUCGGUCACCUAUUUUUGAUGACAUUUUACAAGGUCGAGCUCCAAGGGUACAAUACGUGGUCAACGGACACCAAUAUGAUAUGGCGUACUACCUCACUGACGGUAUAUAUCCAAAAUGGUCAACAUUUAUCCAAUCUAUCUCACUUCCUCAAGGUCCUAAAGCAGAGUUAUUUGCUAAAGUUCAAGAAUCAACCCGAAAAGAUGUGGAGCGGGCUUUUGGAGUAUUGCAAUCUCGAUUUGCAAUAGUGAAAAACCCGGCUAUUUUGUGGGACAAGAAACAGAUAGGGAUGGUUAUGCGAACAUGUAUCAUACUUCACAAUAUGAUAGUAGAAAAUGAACGCAAUGGAUACACUCAGUAUGAUACAUCUGAAUUUGAAGAAGGAACCUCGACCAGAAGUUCGAAUGUGGAUGCACCCAAUACUUCCGAGAUGCCUCCAAAUCUCGCUAAUAUGCUUCUUAUACGGACUCAUCUUCGUGAUAGGCAGUUACAUGAACGAUUGAAAAAUGAUUUGGUAGAAAAUAUUUGGAACAAGUUUGGUAAUGAUGAAGAUGAAUAAUUAUUGUAUGUUUGCAUUUAAUCAUUCAAUAAAUGAAUUUUCAAUUUUAAUGUUUUGCAACUUUCAUAAUUUUUAAUUUCUUAAAAAAAAAAAAAAAUUAUAAGGACUUCAUAGUAGUAACACCAUUGGACAUAUAAUUAGGAUCAAAGUCCUUAACUAUUCAGAAAAGAAAAAAAAAAAUUAAAAUAUGGCUAAGGACUCCAAUGGUGGGUAACACCAUUGGAGAUGCUCUUACAUCACUUCUACAAUUCUUUUGGUAUUAAUGAUAUACGUAGUGAGUAUCUAACCAAUAAUUUUAGAGCUACAUAUUUUAAGAUUAUAGGAUUUUCUUUUCAGCCUAACUUAGUACAACUUUACCUGAAAAAUUCUAACAUUAAAUCAUCAUGUUCAUUUAUUAUCUAAACAUUGUCACAUAUACAAUUCUUCUGAUAGUUUACAUUAUUUGUUUCGUAAGUCCGACGCAUAUUAUUUACAUUUUACAACAGAGAUUCAAUCAGAGAGAUCUAUUAUUCUAACCCUUGGCAGUGGUGGAUCUAGAAAGUUUUACUAUGGGAGGCAAAAUUUUAAAUUUUAGAAAUGAAAUACAUUUUAACUGUAGGUUUGAGAUUUUAUGAGGGACAAAUUUAUCUAAUUUCUCCAAAAUUUAUUAUAAAUACGAAAGAAAAACUUAAAAAAAAAAAUCCAUGGGGGGCACAUGCCACCCCCUUGCUGGCUCUACCUCCGCCCCUGACUCCAUCGUUCACGAAUUCUCACAAAAGCUUGCUGCAGCUCAGGUGCCUCUUGGUUCGUUUCCACUUCAAAGGUUCUCUUUUUCUUCCUCCAAGACAACUGGAGAUAAAGCUACAGCUGAUGCAAACGAAUCAGGUCUUGACUCAUAACCCUCCCAAGGUUCGAGAAGAGGAGGAGUUGUCAAUGGAUGAUUUGGUGAAGCUGGUGGCUGAGAAGGAAGAGCUACUGUCUGAAAAGGAGGAAGAGAUUAAGCAAAUGUUAUGGAUAGAACAAGACGUGAUGCUGAAAACACCAAGAAGUAUGCCAUACAGAAUUUUGCAAAGAGCCUUUUGGAUGUCGCGGAUAAUCUUGGAAGAGCUUCUUCGGUUGUCAAGGAAAGCUUUUCAAAGCUUGACACUACGAAAGAAGAUUUGGCUGGAGCGACUCCACUCUUAAAGACACUUUUAGAAGGUGUGGAGAUGACUGGUAUUUAAGAAAUUUGGUAUGGAGAAGUAUGAUCCAAUCAACGAGCCGUUUGAUCCAAACAGACAUAACGCAGUGUUUCAAGUCCCGGAUGCUUCUAAGCCACAAGGCACGGUUGCUCAUGUCCUCAAGUCUGGAUACACGUUGUUUGAUAGAGUUAUAAGACCAGCUGAGGUUGGUGUUACUCAAGGAGGAGAGAGCGAAGAAGACAAGAAAGAGUCUGAUGCUUAAAAAAGAAGUUAGCUGGUUUUCAUAAGUUUUUACUACUGUUCUUUGUUUCGAGCAACUCAAUUAACAGUGCCAUGGUUUUCUCUUGUCGUUUGGUUUAUUCAUUGGAUGAACAAGAUCCCCCAUAAGUUGCUGGACAUGGCAUCUUGCAGGGGAAGCCCUGCUACACACGCUCUACCAAGUCUCUUUUGAUAAAUUAAUCAGAUACAAACAAAGGUUUUACAUUGUC